AUGAACGCUAGCUACAGGCUUAACACAUGCAAGUCGAGGGGCAGCAUUUUAGUUUGCUUGCAAACUGAAGAUGGCGACCGGCGCACGGGUGAGUAACACGUAUCCAACCUGCCGAUAACUCCGGAAUAGCCUUUCGAAAGAAAGAUUAAUACCGGAUGGCAUACGAAUAUCGCAUGAUAUUUUUAUUAAAGAAUUUCGGUUAUCGAUGGGGAUGCGUUCCAUUAGUUUGUUGGCGGGGUAACGGCCCACCAAGACUACGAUGGAUAGGGGUUCUGAGAGGAAGGCCCCCACCAUGGCACUUAAGACCCGUCCCAAACCCCUCCGGAGGGCGGCGGUAAGGAAUAUUGGUCAAUGGCGGAGAGCCGGACCCAGCCAAGGGGCGUAAGGGUGGAGGGUCUAAGGGGUGUAAAACUUCUUUAAAAUGGAAAUAAGGUUUUCCACUUGUGGAAUUUGGAAUGUGCAUAUGAAUAAGGAUCGGCUAACUCCGUGCCAGCAGCCGCGGUAAUACGGAGGAUCCGAGCGUUAUCCGGAUUUAUUGGGUUUAAAGGGAGCGUAGGUGGAUUGUUAAGUCAGUUGUGAAAGUUUGCGGCUCAACCGUAAAAUUGCAGUUGAAACUGGGAGUCUUGAGUACAGUAGAGGUGGGCGGAAUUCGUGGUGUAGCGGUGAAAUGCUUAGAUAUCACGAAGAACUCCGAUUGCGAAGGCAGCUCACUAGACUGUCACUGACACUGAUGCUCGAAAGUGUGGGUAUCAAACAGGAUUAGAUACCCUGGUAGUCCACACAGUAAACGAUGAAUACUCGCUGUUUGCGAUAUACAGUAAGCGGCCAAGCGAAAGCAUUAAGUAUUCCACCUGGGGAGUACGCCGGCAACGGUGAAACUCAAAGGAAUUGACGGGGGCCCGCACAAGCGGAGGAACAUGUGGUUUAAUUCGAUGAUACGCGAGGAACCUUACCCGGGCUUAAAUUGCAACAGAAUAUAUUGGAAACAGUAUAGCCGUAAGGCUGUUGUGAAGGUGCUGCAUGGUUGUCGUCAGCUCGUGCCGUGAGGUGUCGGCUUAAGUGCCAUAACGAGCGCAACCCUUAUCUUUAGUUACUAACAGGUUAUGCUGAGGACUCUAGAGAGACUGCCGUCGUAAGAUGUGAGGAAGGUGGGGAUGACGUCAAAUCAGCACGGCCCUUACGUCCGGGGCUACACACGUGUUACAAUGGGGGGUACAGAAGGCGGCUACCUGGUGACAGGAUGCUAAUCCCAAAAACCUCUCUCAGUUCGGAUCGAAGUCUGCAACCCGACUUCGUGAAGCUGGAUUCGCUAGUAAUCGCGCAUCAGCCAUGGCGCGGUGAAUACGUUCCCGGGCCUUGUACACACCGCCCGUCAAGCCAUGAAAGCCGGGGGUACCUGAAGUACGUAACCGCAAGGAGCGUCCUAGGGUAAAACUGGUAAUUGGGGCU
rnacentral:rRNA from 1 species